GGGUUGUGAGGUUAAGCGACUAAGCGUACACGGUGGAUGCCCUGGCAGUCAGAGGCGAUGAAGGACGUGCUAAUCUGCGAUAAGCGUCGGUAAGGUGAUAUGAACCGUUAUAACCGGCGAUUUCCGAAUGGGGAAACCCAGUGUGAUUCGUCACACUAUCAUUAACUGAAUCCAUAGGUUAAUGAGGCGAACCGGGGGAACUGAAACAUCUAAGUACCCCGAGGAAAAGAAAUCAACCGAGAUUCCCCCAGUAGCGGCGAGCGAACGGGGAGCA
rnacentral:rRNA from 1 species